rnacentral:rRNA from 1 species
GGUGCAUGGCUGUCGUCAGCUCGUGUCGUGAGAUGUUGGGUUAAGUCCCGCAACGAGCGCAACCCUCGUUCUAUGUUGCCAGCAUGCCCUUCGGGGUGAUGGGGACUCAUAGGAGACUGCCGGGGUCAACUCGGAGGAAGGUGGGGAUGACGUCAAGUCAUCAUGCCCCUUAUGUCCAGGUCUUGACGCACUCUACAAUGGCCGGUACAAAGGGCUGCGAUCCCGUAAGGGGGAGCGAAUCCCAAAAAGCCGGUCUCAGUUCGGAUUGGGGUCUGCAACUCGACCCCAUGAAGUCGGAGUCGCUAGUAAUCGCAGAUCAGCAACGCUGCGGUGAAUACGGUCCCGGGCCUUGUACACACCGCCCGCCACGUCACGAAAGUCGGAACACACCCGAAGCCG